rnacentral:lncRNA from 1 species
GGAACUGAUAGCAAAAUUCCUUGAACUUUGCAUGGGGAUAAUAAAAUAUGAGCUGUACAACAGAUGAUGGUAAUUCAAAUACUGCGUUCUUUCAGAAAGAGAUGAUCAUAGCCAGUGGCAUACCAGUUUCCCCUUUCUAAACAUUAUCAGGAGAUGGUAAUCAGGUAAAAGAACAGUGAUUGCAUCAGAUGUCAGACAGGAACUGGCUAUUAUAAAGGAGAGAGCAAGAUGGGGAGAGGAAAUAGAAGAAAGAAAAGGUCGCUGCAGAGUGGAGAGUUGUCAUUAGCAGAAAAGCAGCAGGGUGAACUCAACCUGCCAAAAAAGGUUGUAUUUCGAAUUCAAAGACAAACUCAAGUUAUGAGAGAAACGAGUGAGGUCAUUUAGUAUUCUUACAACUGCCUAGGUUCUGCACUGUCUCAAAUGAAGGUUGGCGUGUGUAAGAAACCAAUAAAAAUGAGAACACUUGCACUGCUGGGGAGCGGCAUGGGCAGAGGGCCCUGGCGGGAGGCGAGGGGUGAGAGGCGGGUGGUGCUGGGCAGGCAGGGCUGUGCCAUCACCCCAUGGAGCACUCCUUCCCUGCCACGGCACCACGGGCAGAGCUGUCCCAGGUAGCUGGGCUCAGACAGCCCCGACAGACUGACAAAUCUGCAGUGACCGGGCAGGCCCAAGCUCAGGCCGACACGGCUGGCCCACAGGUGGGAUCCACGGUCAGGUACUGGCCCCAGGGCCUCAGCUUAGAGCAGCUCCCAGGGAAAUUGGGCUCAGCCCUGACUGAGGCAUCUUCUAGUCACAAAAAACCUCUGUGCCAAAGAGGUAUGGUCUGGAGAUGUGAACUGGCGAUUGGCAACGGGACCAAAGUUUCCCAGGUUGCCUAAUAAGUCUUCAUGAAAUACCUGAACCAUUACCCUUUUAGUCUUUGAAAGGAUGCUAUAAGCGAAACUAUUAGAUCCAGCCUUUCAGGUGCCACACUCAAGACUUAUAACUCACAAUGCAGUAUUAUGUGAAAGAAGCAAUGGAGCUGCUAGCAGGAAUGGCAUAAAGAAUUGGCGUGCUUUUAUUUUUUAAUACUAUAAAAAUGAUCAAACUCUGGGAC